rnacentral:snRNA from 1 species
GGAUUGUUCACCCACCAAU